UGAGCCUUUCUGCAUCCAUCCAUCCAUCCAUCCUCACUGAGCCAUGAAGAUCCUUCACCUGUUCUGGGCUGUCCUGUCUUUGCUGCUGCUGACUGCUUCAGGAUUUGCCAAGGAAGACCCAAAUCUUGGACCAGAUUGCUAUAAGAGAGGCAGCACUUGCAAAUCUAACAAGUGUCCCAAAGGAAUGAUUCAAGAUGGAAUGUGCAACAUGAAAAAGAUAUGUUGCAAGAGUGUCCCAGAAGAUUGAUGCCAGCUUACACAGGACCCUUUGAAAAUUGGGAGAUGCUCCCUUACUUUGAGAGCAACUGGAUCCUGCUUCAGCCCCAGCUGGAGUCUCCUCCUUCUCCAGGAAAGCAUCC